rnacentral:rRNA from 1 species
ACUCCUGCGGGAGGCAGCAGUGGGGAAUUUUACGCAAUGGGGGAAACCCUGACGUAGCGACACCGCGUGAGCGAAGAAGCCCUUUGGGGUGUAAAGCUCUGUCAGCUGGAACGAAAACAAUGACGGUACCAGCAGAGGAAGCAUCGGCUAACUACGUGCCAGCAGCCGCGGUAAGACGUAGGAUGCGAGCGUUGUCCGGAUUUAUUGGGCGUAAAGAGUUCGUAGGUGGUUUGUUAAGUUUGGUGUUAAAGAUCGGGGCUCAACCCUGGGACUGCACUGAAUACUGGCAGACUCGAGUGUGGUAGAGGCUAGUGGAAUUCCCAGUGUAGCGGUGAAAUGCGUAGAUAUUGGGAAGAACACCGGUGGCGUAGGCGACUAGCUGGGCCAUAACUGACGCUGAGGAACGAAAGCCAGGGGAGCGAAUGGGAUUAGAAACCCUAGUAGUCCCAUGAU